ACUACCGAUUGAAUGGUUUAGUGAGGCCUUCUGACUGGCGCCGAUACUCUGGCAACAGAGCGCCGGAUGCCGGGAAGUUGGUCAAACUUGAUCAUUUAGAGGAAGUAAAAGUCGUAACAAGGUUUCCGUAGGUGAACCUGCGGAAGGAUCAUUACCGAUAACAAUCCAAUCAUAAAAAUGGAUUUUUAACCUCUGUGAACUGUACACAAUCUUUAGGGGUCGGUGGCGCUUUUACCGUUAAAUGGUCGUCGGUCCGUGCAUUCGGCUUUCGGCCAGCCCCGCCAUUCUCGUUUGUUGACACACUUCAAUGUAUUGCUCUGAAACAUAUCUGCCCGUUCAUUUUUUUUUUUUUUAAAGAAAAAAGACGGGCGAGUGACAAAGAACAUGUGGAGACAACUUUUAACGGUGGAUCUCUAGGCUCACGUAUCGAUGAAGAACGCAGCCAGCUGCGAUAAGUAGUGUGAAUUGCAGAAUUCAGUGAAUCAUUGAAUCUUUGAACGCAAAUGGCGCUCUUGGGUUCUCCCAGGAGCAUGUCUGUCUGAGUGUCGGAUAUCAUCUAACGCACUCGUUUGGUGUGCGGAAUUGAGGCGUCACGGCGUUCUCUCUCGCCGUGUCCCUUGAAGGAAAGCGUGUUAGACUCGCAUCGUGCGCGGUUUCAAAAAAACCUGCACUCCAUGCGAAGGCUAAAGACAUUAUUUUGUCCUUCGUCUGGGUGCCGGUCCGCCAGCGCGAGUCGGCCGAAAAGUAAAGGUGACAAAAAACUUGGCAUACAUCUUGACCUCAGAUCAGGCAAGGCUACCCGCUGAAUUUAAGCAUAUUAAUAAGCGGAGGAAAAGAAACUAACAAGGAUUCCCCCAGUAACGGCGAGUGAAGCGGGAAUAGCUCAAAUUUGAAAUCUCCGACGCUUGCGUCGGCGAAUUGUAGUUACGAGAAGCACUUUCUCGGCGGAUCGGGCGCGCCUAAGUUGCUUGGAACAGUACGUCGCAGAGGGUGACAACCCCGUCUGUGGCACGGCCGGCCGCUCACGAUGUGCUUUCGAA
rnacentral:misc_RNA from 1 species